CGGAGGGGGCUAGCGUUGUUCGGAAUUACUGGGCGUAAAGCGCACGUAGGCGGCUUGGUAAGUUAGAGGUGAAAGCCCGGGGCUCAACUCCGGAACUGCCUUUAAGACUGCUUCGCUUGAAUCAUGGAGAGGUCAGUGGAAUUCCGAGUGUAGAGGUGAAAUUCGUAGAUAUUCGGAAGAACACCAGUGGCGAAGGCGACUGACUGGACAUGUAUUGACGCUGAGGUGCGAAAGCGUGGGGAGCAAACAGGAUU
rnacentral:rRNA from 1 species